rnacentral:lncRNA from 1 species
CCAUUGCUGGGCAGCUACUCAGGCCACAUGGUUGCUGAGCUGAGGCAGGCCGUGUCCUGCAGCUUGAGAAAGUGGGUGCAGGGAGCGAGGCUGUCUCGGUGGGCCCCACCCUUUCUUCCAUCUCCCCUAACCAAUGGCGUCUGGUCUCUAAGCCUGACUGGGUUGCUUCUGCUUAGAUGCUCUCCACGGUGGUCCCUCUAUGCCAGUCCCUCCGGGCUGUUUCCGCCAGGCCAACCCCGUUUUUUCCCUGCAUAGCUGGCCGCAGUGCCCUCUUUGGGUCUGAUCUCUAAGAUCAAAGUUUUAGUUCCCAACACCUGCUGGCACCUGCCUUCGGUUGUGGUUGUCUGUUGCCCGUAUCACUGGCUGUUUGUGGAGGACUGUCUGCUUCUUAAUUGCUUCAGACCAUCUGCCUAGAGCUCCUCCUCCGUUUUUGGCUGGUCUCGUCGCUGGUGGGGAACUUCCCAGGCUGCAGGAGCUGUUCCCCUUUCCAGCUCCCACCUGGGAGAGCAGGUCUCAUCUUGAUUCCUUUUGCUUCUUUUUCUCUUGUUCUUGUUCUUUCUUCUUUCUUAUGUCUGGUCUGGUUUUGUAAUGCUUCUCUUGUUCUAUCGUAUGAGAUCUUUUGUCAGUGUAUGCAAAUUUUCUGUGUGAAUAAUUCCACGUAUAUUUGGAUUUUCAGAGUAUUUGUGGGAGUAGAUGAGCCUUACGUCCUGCUCCUCUGCCAUCUUAGACCCCUCCCAUGUUGAUUUUAUGAGGCUGUGAGCUCUUGGAGUGGGGGCGCCCAAGCCACAUUCUACGGUUUUCCACCGCCUGGCAUUUAGCACAUCACAUAGUAGGUUCCUACUUGUUAUUUGUUAAAACAUAAUUGGAACCUACUGUUGGGCACAGGGAACUCUCCCCAGUAUUCUGCGAUCAUUUAUAUGGGAAAAGAAUCUGGAAGAGAAUGGAUGUGUGCACACAUACAACUGAAUCACUGCUGUACACCCUGUAAAUCAACGGUACUUUAUUAAAACUUAAACAAAAACAAAAACAAAACCCCAUACUGAGUCCCCACUGUGGUGCCGUGGGGUAAGGAUUGGAUGUUGCUGCACCUGCAGCUCAGAUUAAAUCCCUGGCUCUGGAAAUGCCACACGCUGUAGGUGUGGCCGAAAAAGAAAAACAUUAAAACAUAAUCGUGAAGUAAUUUUCUGUUGCCCUGAAGCUGAUACAGAUGACGGCCACUUGUCAGACAACUGGAGAAGAUGGCUUACCAAGCCGUCUCCUUUCUCGGAUGGACAAAGUGUGCAGCCUCCUCUGUCCUGUAGGAACUGUGAUUGUCCGGAAGGUCCACGUUCCCGAGGGUCCCCGCGAGCAGAGCAGGCCCUGCUCCCCUCAGACGCUGACGUCAUUCCUCUCACGCUGCACAUUUAUAACCACCCGCCCCCUUCUUCGGAGCCGUGUAAUGCUCGGCAGCUGCUUUCAGAGGAUGUUCACGGCUCUGGCAGCCGUUUUUUGGGCACCAGGGCUUUUUGGUGACCUUCCCCGCUGUGGCACAGUGGGGUCUGUGUUGUUAUUAUGUCUUAUUUCCAUUUGGGAAAGAGUCUCCUUAAUUGGCAUUUCUGUGCUGGGGCUUUGGGGAGCCAGCUAUGCCCCUUCUGCCCACACCCACUAUUGUCCUUUGUCCCCAGCUGACCUGUGGCUGGCCAUCCAACUCCCUUCUCAUCGAGAAAACUCCACUCCUCUGUGGAUGGAUUUGAUUCUUAAUUCAGAGCCCUUGGGGUUCACAGCCCUCUGAACAAUAAUUUCCACAGUCUGGGAGCCCAUGUAUUAUCUGAGCUGUAUCCGAGGUAUUUCAGUCCAUACAUUAUCUGAGCUAUAUCCAAGGUAUUCCGGCCCAUAUAUUAUCUGAGCUAUAUCCAAGGUAUUUUGGCCCAUAUAUCAUUUGCGCUAUAUCCAAGGAAUUUCAGCCCAUAUAUCAUCUGAGCUAUAUGCAAGGUACUUCAGCCCAUAUAUUAUCUGAGCUAUAUCCAAGGUAUUCCAGCCUAUAUCAUCUGAGCUAUAUCCAAGGUAUUUUGGCCCAUAUAUCAUUUGCGCUAUAUCCAAGGAAUUUCAGCCCAUAUAUUAUCUGAGCUAUAUCCAAGGUAUUCCAGCCCAUAUAUCAUCUGAGCUAUAUGCAAGGUAUUCCAGCCCAUAUAUCAUCUGAGCUAUAUCCAAGAUAUUCUGGCCCAUAUAUCAUCUGAGCUAUAUCCAAGGUAUUCCAGCCCAUAUAUCAUCUGAGCUAUAUGCAAGGUAUUCCGGCCCAUAUAUCAUCUGAGCUAUAUCCAAGGUAUUCCAGCCCAUAUAUCAUCUGAGCUAUAUCCAAGGAAUUUCGGCCCAUGUAUUAUCUGAGCUAUAUCCAAGGUAUUUCAGCCCAUAUAUUAUCUGAGCUAUAUCCAAGGAAUUUCAGUCCGUAUAUUAUCUGAGCUAUAUCCAAGGUAUUCCAGCCUAUAUCAUCUGAGCUAUAUCCAAGGUAUUCUGGCCCAUAUAUCAUCUGAGCUAUAUCCAAGGUAUUCUGGCCCAUAUAUCAUCUGCGCUAUAUCCAAGGAAUUUCAGCCCAUAUAUCAUCUGAGCUAUAUCCAAGAUAUUUCGGCCCAUGUAUUAUCUGAGCUAUAUCCAAGGAAUUUCAGCCCAUAUAUUAUCUGAGCUAUAUCCAAGGUAUUUCAGCCCAUAUAUUAUCUGAGCUAUAUCCAAGGAAUUUCAGUCCGUAUAUUAUCUGAGCUAUAUCCAAGGAAUUUCAGCCCAUAUAUCAUCUGAGCUAUAUCCAAGAUAUUUCGGCCCAUGUAUUAUCUGAGCUAUAUCCAAGGUAUUCCAGCCCAUAUAUUUUCUGAGCUAUAUCCAAGGAAUUUCAGCCCAUAUAUUAUCUGAGCUAUAUCCAAGGUAUUCCAGCCUAUAUUAUCUGAGCUAUAUCCAAGGUAUUUCAGCCCAUAUAUUAUCUGAGCUAUAUCCAAGGUAUUCCAGCCCAUAUAUUUUCUGAGCUAUAUCCAAGGUAUUUCAGUCCAUACAUUAUCUGAACUGUAUCCAAGGUAUUUUGGCCCAUUAGAAAAGUAAAUGACUUUGUGAACAGGAGAAGGAUCUUACAUACAAGCGUUCUUACUCCCACUCCUCCUCAGAUGCUUUCUGAUUGGGGGAAAAAAAAUCUUCAAGCCUGUGGCCCCACAGUGAUUUUUUUAAAGUUUCAUUGACGUCUAGUUGAUUUACACUGUGUGACAAUUUCUGUGGCCCGACAAAGGGAUUCAGUUAUGCAUGUACACACAUCCAUUCUUUUUCGGAUCUUUUCCCAGUAGAAGAUCACAGAAUACUGGGGAGAGUUCUCUGUGCUCGACAGCAGGUCCCUGUGGGCCAGUCACUGCAUAGACCUCAGUGUGCAUGUGCCACCCCCACCCGCAGUCCUCCCCUCCCCUCCACCUGUUCCCUUUGGUUUUCAAACUCUGUGAGUGUUUCUGUUCUGAAAAUAUAUUCCUCUGUAUUUUUUUUUUUUUAGAUUCCGCAUAUAAGUUAUAUCAUAUGAUGUUUUUCUUUCACUGUCUGACUUCACUUUGUAUGGUCACCUCUGGGUCCAUCCGUGUUACUGCAAAUGGCAUUUUUACUGCCAAGAUGGCAUCAUUCAUACCUCACUUAUCUGAGUCUGCUCUUUUUCAGAUAUGUUUGAACAUCCUAAGAAGAGAGAAUGGGAGGGGACGCAUGCCUUUUGGGAGGGCGAACAGAGGUGGAUAGAAGGUCCUGCCUGGGCCCAGAGCAGUAAGAGUGCUUCCUGGGGCCGCGGGAUUUUUCCACGUGGUGUCUGACACACACACCCCGCUCCCUCCCUCCCCAGCCCAGCCUCCAUCCACUCGAAUACACAUUUCCAGGAGGUGCCUUCAGGCCUCACUUUGAGGACCCAUGGGUCACAGGCAGCUGGAGCACCUCCCUCCUUGUCUGCAGGCUCAGCCUGAGUCCUCCUGCCCAGGUCCUGCUUUGCCACGCGCGGUCCCUGCUUCACGAUGACCGGGGCAGCAGCAUCAAGGCCAGCCUAGUUUGAGGGCAACAACUUAAGAUUUCCACCUCUAGUUUUCACAGAGGCCAGCAACACAUUGUUAGAGCUAUUCACUCUGUCUGCACGAUUCUGCUCAUUUCCCGAAAAGCUGAAAGAAGAAUGGGACCAGAGUGGCCUGCGAAGAAUUCGAAUAGGGACCUGGAGGACCAGUUCCCACUCAGCCAAGGUGGGGGCAGCAGCCACGUGCCAGGCUACAUCCUCUGCACGUUGCUCACUUCGGAAUGAGCCACAGCUGGAUGUUUUUGAGUGGGAUUUUCUGGGCAUGCUCCCUGAAUGUUAGAGGCGGUGGGACGGAUAGCAGCCAGCAAAGCAGUGCUGAUUAGGAGUGACGCGUAUGGACAAGUGGAAUGAGAGCGGAGAGGAAGAUGCGGAUGGAAGAGAAGAUGCUGAUGAAAGAGAAAACUUGGAGUUAGAACAGAGAGAGGGAGGGAGGAUGAUGAACCAAGUCAACCAUGUGUCUUGGGUUUCACGCUUUGUCACCAAGAUGGCUUGGAAAGGUUAGCAGACCCUGGGCACAGAAGAGGCACCCAGUAACACUUGCCGAAUCAAAACACGGGAAAUGUUUAGUCUGCAGGCCGCUGCUUUGUUUUCUGGGACUUUUAGAAGACAUGUUUUUGAGUUUCUUAUUUUUAAACAAUUUAACACAUUAAAAAGAAAUUCUCUCUGACGUCUCUCCCUCUCCCAAGUCAUUUGUCAAGGAGGACAGGAUGUGUCAUCUUCCCUGGGGGGGUUUUUAAAGCUGUUCUCCACCAGAUUGGCCACGCAAUGGAUUAUGGACACAAAGAUCACGGGAAGAAUGGCAGACGCUGCCUCGUGUUUCAAACGCACCAUGACCCUGGAGGAUAACUGACACUAAAGCCUGAAGUUAGACAUGAUUAUUCACGUAAAAACUUGUACUGAGAUCUAAGGUGUUUCAGGCAUUCUAGAAGGAAUAUCAAGAUUCAUUUGGACAAAAGGAGCUUUGAGGAGAUUGUAGGAGAAAAGGACAUGUUUGGAGAAAUGUCAGACCUUUGAAAGAGGAGGUUGGUAUAAGCAGGGGGAUUUUUAAAAACACUUCUAUGUAACAAAACUAAGGCAAAAUCAGAAAAAGAAAAUAGCAAAAAAAAAAAAGAAAAAGAAAAA